UCUGCCGUCGAGCGGACAGAAGGGAGCUUGCUCCCGGAUGUUAGCGGCGGACGGGUGAGUAACACGUGGGUAACCUGCCUGUAAGACUGGGAUAACUCCGGGAAACCGGAGUCUAAUACCGGUAUAGUUCCUUGAACCGCAUGGUUUCAAGGCAUGAAAAGACGGUUUCGGCUGUCACUUUACAGNAUGGGACCCGCGGCGCAUUAGCUAGUUGGCUGNAGGAACCCGGUCUCACCGAAGGCAAACGAUGCAGUAGCCGGACCUGGAGAGGGCUGUAUCGGGCCUACACUGGGGAACUGGAGAAACACUGGGCUCCCAAGACUUCCUUACCNGGGGAGGGCUAGCCAGUUUAGGAGAAAAUCUUUCCCGNCAAAUGGNAACGGAAAAGUUCUUGGAACGCGAAGCCAAACCGCCCGGCCUC
rnacentral:rRNA from 1 species